GUAGGUGGCAAGCGUUGUCCGGAAUUAUUGGGCGUAAAGCGCGCGCAGGCGGUUCUUUAAGUCUGAUGUGAAAGCCCACGGCUCAACCGUGGAGGGUCAUUGGAAACUGGAGAACUUGAGUACAGAAGAGGAAAGCGGAAUUCCACGUGUAGCGGUGAAAUGCGUAGAGAUGUGGAGGAACACCAGUGGCGAAGGCGGCUUUCUGGUCUGUAACUGACGCUGAGGCGCGAAAGCGUGGGAGCAAACAGGAUUGGAUACCCUGGUAGUCCACGCCGUAAACGAUGAGUGCUAAGUGUUAGGGGGUUUCCGCCCCCCUUAGUGCUGCAGCUAACGCAUUAAGCACUCGCCUGGGAGUACGGCCGCAAGGCUGA
rnacentral:rRNA from 1 species